GCCCUUCCAAUUCCUGUCGGGGCGACUUAUAUAAACCCUGCCGGUUUCGACCGGCUAUGGCGAUAAACGGACGAUGUAAUAAGCCUAUUGGACCCGGGGGCGGUACCCGGCGCCUCCACCAGAAUGCAGCAGAUAAGCUGCCUUGUGGCGGGGGCGAAAUAGGAUCGACAAGGGUGUAAAGAUCGCUCUUUUGCUCGGCAUGAUACCACCGUUAUCGGGUCAAAAGUGUAGUUGCAAACGACAACAACGCUAAGGGAUAUGCUCUCGCUGCCUAAUGGCGGUGCGGGAAUUCCGACCUAAGCCCUUUUGGUUAGCACCUUAAGGCGGGGUUCGGAGGCACCUGGCAACAGAAGCCUCCACU
rnacentral:tmRNA from 1 species